GGGGCUGAUCGGUUUCGACUUGGGACGUUGGUCCCAGGGGAAGCGGGUCGAGAAGCCAGCGUCAUCUCGUAAACGAUCGCUGGAACCAACAAGUGCCGACUCUAAGCGCACUAACUUCGCUCUCGCUGCCUGAGCAGUGAUCGAAGGGUCAGUCCGGGCAUCCGUCUCCGUCCCGGGUCCUGAUCUCAUCAAGGGGACUUGCCCACCGGUUCUGUCACGGUGACCGGUGGGGACUUUUUCCGUGACUGCGUCCGUCAGCGACAUGUUCGUGUGAGCGCUGGGACAGAGAACACGACCACCCACGGACUACACCCGUAGAAGACCUGGUACGGCGCUCGAGGACGCGGGUUCGAUUCCCGCCAGCUCCACCA
rnacentral:tmRNA from 1 species